UUUGGCCUACGGGACGCAGCAGUGAGGAAUAUUGGUCAAUGGCCGCAGGGCUGAACCAGCCAAGUCGCGUGAGGGAUGACGGUCCUAUGGAUUGUAAACCUCUUUUGUCAGGGAGCAAAGGGCGCCACGAGUGGCGUUUUGCGAGUACCUGAAGAAAAAGCAUCGGCUAACUCCGUGCCAGCAGCCGCGGUAAUACGGAGGAUGCGAGCGUUAUCCGGAUUUAUUGGGUUUAAAGGGUGCGCAGGCGGAAUGUCAAGUCAGCGGAAAAAUUUCGGGGCUCAACCCCGUCGGGCCGUUGAAACUGG
rnacentral:rRNA from 1 species